AUGGCUCUAGAGGGGCCCGCGGAGCGACGGGACGAGGGCCAGCAGGGAGGGAUGGCGAACGGGAAUGGCGUGGCUCCGCCGCCGUCGCGCAUGGCCGGCCGGCCGUUGGGGGCGGCUGCGUACUCUGACAGGCGGCUGCGCCUCAAUCCGAACACGGAGCACAAGCCGCAGGACUACACCGACGUGCGCGGCGAGUACGCGCCAGCCGUGUACAGCGCCCUGGAGCGGCACCUCCCGCCUAGCCUCCUCGAGGCCGACCGUGAUGUCAAGCUACACUUCAUGCGGGACAUACUCGCGCGCUAUUGGCCCCAUGGCGAGCGAAACAAGGUUCAUAGGCACAAAGAAUACAGGCAGAAGAUAGUCCACCUCUAUAAGCCACUUCAUCAAGAAUUGUACAGCAUGCAUCCUUCGGCUUUCUUCUUACCAACAUUCCUUGAAGCAGUAAGAACCAAUACAGAAGAAAGCAUUGCAAGUAUAAUGACUGAACCAAUUGCUGGUGUUUUUUCAUUUGCUAUGUUACAGCCCAACUUUUGUGACAUGCUAUUGGAGGAGGUAGAGAACUUUGAAAAGUGGGUUCAUGCAAUGAAAUUUAAGAUAAUGAGGCCAAAUACAAUGAAUAAGUAUGGUGCUGUCCUUGAUGAUUUUGGCCUGGAGGCUAUGCUGAAUCAGUUCAUGGAGGAGUUCAUAGCUCCAAUUUCUAAAGUUUUUUACCCUGAGGUUGGUGGAGGAACAUUGGACUCUCAUCAUGCUUUUGUUGUUGAAUAUGGGAAAGACAGAGAUGUUGAACUAGGUUUCCAUGUUGAUGAUUCUGAGGUCACAUUAAAUGUUUGCCUUGGCAAGCAAUUCUCAGGUGGUGAAUUAUACUUUCGUGGCAUCCGUUGCGAGAAUCAUGUGAACUCAGAAACACAGCACGAGGAAAUGUAUGAUUACUCUCAUGUUCCUGGACGAGCUGUACUUCACCGUGGCCGUCAUAGACAUGGUGCUAGACCGACAUCAUCAGGGCUCAGAAUGAAUCUGCUUUUGUGGUGCAGAAGCUCCGUGUUCAGGGAGAUGAAGAAAUACCAGAUGGGUUUUUCUAGCUGGUGCGGUGAGUGCCAGCGUGAAAAGAGAGAAAGGCAGAUUCAGUGCGUCAAAGCGACCAAGUUGGUAAACUACUCUUUAGAACACUCGUACGCUGUCCAUUUGGCAGCUAACAUUCUGUUAUUAGCUUCUAACACAUUUCUGCUUUACUUCUGA
rnacentral:rRNA from 1 species